GCCGAAAAGGAAGUUUAAACACACACAUGAGAAUCCACACUGGAGAGAAGCCUUUCUGUUGUGAUCUAUGUGGACAAAGAUUUAGCCAAAAAGGAAGUUUAAACAAACACAUGAGAAUCCACACUAGAAUGGAGAAGAGCUAAGGUUUGAAUGCUCAAACAUAUUACGGUCGCUGUAAAAUUCAUGAAGUGCAAGGCCAUUGGGGGGAAUACUUCUAAUCUCAGGAAACACCUAGUUAAGCAUCAGAUUUUCGUCGAGGCUGAAAAAUGCACAAUUUUCGUCAGCCGCAGAUAUAUGGCUACAACUCCUGCAUUCAGCACCACUAACACGCCUGCUAAUGGAUGUAAUUUAUGCAUUAAAUUUGUGCCUUAUUAAGAAAACAAAAUCUGUGUAGUUAAGGGUUUUCAUGUUGAAGAAAUGUUUGAAACAUCUGAGAUGUUACAGUAUAAACGGCUGGAUGUUGUUUUGAUAUAUUCAGUAAAGUUUAUAUAUUGAGAAGUACAGGCACUACUGGUCAAACGUUUUAGAUACACUUUCUCACUUAAUGUGUCUGAAUGUAUAAACAUUAUCAUUAUUUAGUUUAAGCAAGGUUUAUGUUUUAAGUUCUACUCUAGUGAAGAUGAUUCUUGUGAUUGGCUUUAGUGUGGACAAAGGGUUUGUGGAAAGUUAAGGAAUGUGGUCUGGAGUGGAUCAAUCCCUGGACAUGAAAUGCUCAUACCAUAUAUGGGAAUGACUACUUUUUUUUGUUGAAAUAUUAUAAGUACUGGGUGAACCAAUUCCCGCUUUUAAGUUGAAGGAAUGUGAGUUGUAAAUAAAAGGCCGGUGCAAGGACUUCUCCCUUUGUGCUUUGUGAGAAGGAAGUUGCUGUCCUGCAGAGGACUUUCUCUCCCUUGCAAGUCAAACUUACUUGGUUCACCUUGUGUCUUAUUUCGCAGUGAUCUGUAUUUAUCAGCUUUUUAACCCUAACAUUUCUUUGGUCCUUCGAGCCGGAUCGCUAGAAAUCUGCCGCCUGGGGCCCAGCGGUGCGUGUGGGGUUUCAGUCUGCGCAGCCUCCAGAACGUCUGGAGAACAAAAAUCCUGCACAGUGAAUUCUGUGUUGAUAACCGCCGAAUCGGCCGAGGGGCACCAGGAAGGUGGAUCAACGCGUUUCGACAGAUAGUGUGAACGAACGCACAGAGAUGGCUUCAACAAUUGGUGGCUCGCCCGGGAUUUGGAACAACAGGCGAAAGAAAUUCGGACCAUUGACGAGGACCAACAGGCAUCAGACACGGGCUAGCCAAAACUACACAACAGGUAUAGAGGCCCCGGUUGUGGAAGCGGAUGGCAUGUUGGUGGUCAGCUGGUCAUAGUAGAUGGUGUGGGGCACCCAGAGGAAGGGGUGGAGCCAGCAGGGCACUGGGAGAUGUGUGCUACAACUGCGGUCAGUCUGGACAUUGGGCACGACAGCCCAUACUGACGCCCCUGAGGAGGACCAAGGCAGCAUGGGCCCAGCAGAUCCCAUGUUGCCUGCAAAGGUGGGAGAGAACUGUCUGAAUUUUUAGUGGACACUGGAGCUACUUAUUCCACCAUAACACAGCAACCUCCUAAACCACUGCUCUCUACUAAGACUGUUUCUGUGAUUGGCUUCUCAGGGGCUGCAUAAAUUCUGCCUGUGACUGUACCACCUCCUGUUCAGAUUGGGACUCAGAGAGUAACUCACCCUUUUGUGCAUUCACCCAGCACACCUGUUCAUUUGCUGGGCAGAGACUUAGUGAAGCUGGGAGCAUCAGUGCUGUGUGGUACUGAUGGGUUAACGGUAACUUUUCCAGAUGGUUCCUUUUUGGCAUGUGGACAAAUGCUUCAGCAUGGACAAUAUUUUUUACAGCCAGUUGCAGAGGAAUAUGCAGACAUCUACUGGGGACUGCUGACUGCACCUUCUUCUCCAAGCAGCAUCUUCUCUGUGUAUCAGCUGUGGAAACCCUAGAUUCAAAGUCUCUGCCUCUACACCUCUCCGCCUGACCCGCCCCAUGUCACUCUGUUCUACGACCGUUGUCACACUGAAUGGU